CGGCCUACACAUGCAAGUCGAACGGUAACAGAUCUAGCUUGCUAGAUGCUGACGAGUGGCGCACGGGUGCGUAACGCGUAUACAAUCUACCUCUAACUGAGGGAUAGCCCAGAGAAAUUUGGAUUAAUACCUCAUAGUAUUAUAGAAAGGCAUCUUUUUAUAAUUAAAACUCCGGUGGUUAGAGAUGAGUAUGCGUCCUAUUAGCUAGUUGGUAAGGUAAUAGCUUACCAAGGCAACGAUAGGUAGGGGGCCUGAAAGGGUGAUCCCCCACACUGGUACUGAGACACGGACCAGACUCCUACGGGAGGCAGCAGUGAGGAAUAUUGCACAAUGGAGGAAACUCUGAUGCAGCCAUGCCGCGUGCAGGAUGAAUGCCCUAUGGGUUGUAAACUGCUUUUAUACAAGAAGAAACAUCAGUACGUGUACUGACUUGACGGUAUUGUAUGAAUAAGCACCGGCUAACUCCGUGCCAGCAGCCGCGGUAAUACGGAGGGUGCAAGCGUUAUCCGGAUUUAUUAGGUUUAAAGGGUCCGCAGGCGGAAUAUUAAGUCAGUGGUGAAAGCCUACAGCUCAACUGUAGAACUGCCAUUGAAACUGUUAUUCUUGAGUAUGGAUGAAGUGGGCGGAAUAUGUCAUGUAG
rnacentral:rRNA from 1 species